UAGGGAAUCUUCCGCAAUGGGCGAAAGCUUGACGGAGCAACGCCGCGUGAGUGAUGAAGGUCUUCGGAUCGUAAAACUCUGUUAUUAGGGAAGAACAAAUGUGUAAGUAACUAUGCACGUCUUGACGGUACCUAAUCAGAAAGCCACGGCUAACUACGUGCCAGCAGCCGCGGUAAUACGUAGGUGGCAAUCGUUAUCCGGAAUUAUUGGGCGUAAAGCGCGCGUAGGCGGUUUUUUAAGUCUGAUGUGAAAGCCCACGGCUCAACCGUGGAGGGUCAUUGGAAACUGGAAAACUUGAGUGCAGAAGAGGAAAGUGGAAUUCCAUGUGUAGCGGUGAAAUGCGCAGAGAUAUGGAGGAACACCAGUGGCGAAGGCGACUUUCUGGUCUGUAACUGACGCUGAUGUGCGAAAGCGUGGGGAUCAAACAGG
rnacentral:rRNA from 1 species